rnacentral:rRNA from 1 species
CCUACGGGGGGCAGCAGUGGGGAAUAUUGCACAAUGGGCGCAAGCCUGAUGCAGCCAUGCCGCGUGUGUGAAGAAGGCUUUCGGGUUGUAAAGCACUUUCAGCGGGGAGGAAGGCGGUGAGGUUAAUAACCUCAUCGAUUGACGUUACCCGCAGAAGAAGCACCGGCUAACUCCGUGCCAGCAGCCGCGGUAAUACGGAGGGUGCAAGCGUUAAUCGGAAUUACUGGGCGUGAAGCGCACGCAGGCGGUCUGUCAAGUCGGAUGUGAAAUCCCCGGGCUCAACCUGGGAACUGCAUUCGAAACUGGCAGGCUAGAGUCUUGUAGAGGGGGGUAGAAUUCCAGGUGUAGCGGUGAAAUGCGUAGAGAUCUGGAGGAAUACCGGUGGCGAAGGCGGCCCCCUGGACAAAGACUGACGCUCAGGUGCGAAAGCGUGGGGAGCAAACAGGAUUAGAUACCCUUGUAGUC